UGAGUGUGAAGACCUGAGGUAUCAGGGGUAGGGGUUGCUCUGCUUGUGUAAGUCCCAUAGUGUGAAGGCCAGAGAACCAAGAGAUGGUCAAGAAGAGAGAGAGCAUCACGACCUGUGCAGACUCCCCAGCAUCAUAACAGGAAGGUCCCACGAUCACGAGCACAUUGCCUUCAGCAUCCAGCACUGAAUAUGGUGAAUUGCACUCUGAAGAGCUUCCUAAGCUUGUAAGAAAGUGAUUCUGAAAAGCUCAACAUUUUGGUAGAAUGGAGAGAUUUGACAUUGCUUCUGCUCCAAAAGCAAAAGACUUGGGCCUGGCGUAAAGGAGAUGGGACUCACACCCAAGAGGAUGCAUUUCCAUACACCCAUUUCUGAAAUAUGAAGAGGUGUCCAGUCUGUUUGAUUCAUAGCUGCCUGUUCCACAACUGCAGAUACAGUAAUUGAUAACCGAGACCAAGUUCUCAUCCCCAUCUCCCAGGGCUGGAACUGGGGCUGUGUUUGGUUCUCAUAAGAUCAGUUCCAGUUUUAGAAACUGAGUAAAUUGUGGAGUAAAUAUUGCCAAGUGAUGGCUUUCUGCUGUAGGCGUGGGUCGCUGUUGGCCAUUUGCCUCAGCAUAUCACCAGCAAUGCACCUCAUUGCAUCACUGCAUUUCCAAUUACACCUCAAAGCACCACUGGUCCCCUGUCCACCCUCUGCCCUGCAGAGGUGGGUGUUCAGGGAGACAGAUCCAAAAUCUGGGCUCAGAAGAUGGAAAUGCCAACUGCUCUCAAUUUGAGAGUGGGGAUGAGACUUUUUGACUCAACUCUGGUUAAUUCAGCCAUGCUGUCAGAGCUGCUUUGAUGCAAGGACAUCUGAAUGCUAUCUGAAUGCUGCCCCUAAAAUAACAAAUUAAAAACAACAACAACAACAAAAA
rnacentral:lncRNA from 1 species